AUCUUAUCAAGAGUGGCGGAGGGACUGGCCCAAAGAAGCCACAGCAACCGGUUUGUCAGCCUUAGGCCCUGAACCAUACUAGGUUCAGGGAGGCGGAUGGAUGCAGGUGCUAACUCCUACAAGGUCCAGGCGAGCCCUGAGUGUAACGAAGGGAAGGAGCCUUGGGAGAUAAGAU
rnacentral:ncRNA from 2 species